rnacentral:lncRNA from 1 species
AAAACCCCAAAUUGGAUUCAUCCAAGUUGGGAUCAAGAUGUGCCCCAAAUUGAUUUAUUUACGAGAGCUGAGAAUGGAACUUCUUCCUUCCCCCACAACGAGAACACAAUCAGUCUGGCAAGAUAGAAACCCAACAACACCUCUUGAAUCCAAUGUUCAUUGUAAAUCUCAGGGAUUAUUUGUGAUCAAAAGCCGAAUAAAUAAUAUAAAAGUGAAGUAAAAAAGAAAUUAAUGUAGGGUAAUGGUAGAAUAGGAAAGAAAAAGAAUGAAAAAGAACAUAAUUGAUUAAAAAGUAUUAAAAAGCAAAAGGGUGUGUAAGUAGAGAAAAGAAGAGUGAGAAAAUCGGCUUCCUAUAUAUAUAUAUAUAAUUAUCUCCCUAAUACUACUCUACUUGUAUAAAAAAAAAAACAAUUAUAUAUUUGUUUAAAAUAAAAGAGGAAAAAAGGGGAUCUUUGUCUAAAGAAAUGCAUUGAGAAAAGGGUAAAUGCAGAGUUGGUGUGUGUAUGUGACAUGCACAUUGGACCCCUAUGGAAGAAAAUAAAUUUUAUACACAAAAAGGGGCAUUGAUCCCAACCAAAAAUUUUAAAAAAAAAAAAAAAUCCCAAAAGCUGAGGACACACACUUAAUAAAUAGAAGGUGGGCAGAAGAUAGAAAAUGACAUCAAUACACAUGGCCUGAAAAUUGACUACACAUCAAUAUAUGGAGAAACAAAUCAAAGAAAAUUUUGGUUACACCCACAACACAACACAAGAGUAAGAAUUUAGAAAACCAUACGGCUUCAAGACACAUGGCCUGAAAAGUGACUACACAUACUUAGAAUUUGCAAAGCAAUUUGAGCUCUACCUAUUAAUUCUGGUUAUUGUAAACUCCGCAAGCUUUGUCCUUGUGAAUUAUAUCUCUUCCUAUUUUAAGUUCCCUUCUUUUCUUUUUCUUUU